rnacentral:rRNA from 1 species
UACGUAGGGGCCUAGCGUUGUCCGGAUUUAUUGGGCGUAAAGAGCUCGUAGGCGGUUCGGCAAGUCAGCUGUGAAAUCUCCACGCUUAACGUGGAGGGGUCAGCUGAUACUGCCGUGACUCGAGUCCGGUAGGGGAGUGUGGAAUUCCCGGUGUAGCAGUGAAAUGCGUAGAGAUGCGGAGGAACACCGAUGGCGAAGGCAGCCCCCUGGGCUGACACUGACGCUGAGGCACGAAAGCGUGGGGAGCAAACAGG